rnacentral:rRNA from 1 species
AGAUGUUGGGUUAAGUCCCGCAACGAGCGCAACCCUUAUCGUUAGUUGCCAGCGAGUCAAGUCGGGCACUCUAGCGAAACCGCCUCGGAUAACGGGGAGGAAGGUGGGGAUGACGUCAAGUCCUCAUGGCCUUUAUGUCCAGGGCUACACACGUGCUACAAUGGUCGGUACAAACCGUCGCAAACUCGCGAGAGGGAGCUAAUCGGAAAAAGCCGGCCUCAGUUCGGAUUGGAGUCUGCAACUCGACUCCAUGAAGCUGGAAUCGCUAGUAAUCGCGGAUCAGAACGCCGCGGUGAAUACGUUCCCGGGCCUUGUACACACCGCCCGUCACAUCACGAAAGUGGACUGCACUAGAAGCCGGCGUGCUAACCGCAAGGAGGCAGCCGUCCAAGGUAUGGUUCAUGAUUGGGGUGAAGUCGUAACAAGGUAA